UAAGUAUUGUGAAGACAACGGC
rnacentral:snRNA from 1 species